rnacentral:rRNA from 1 species
UACGUAGGGCGCAAGCGUUGUCCGGAAUUACUGGGCGUAAAGGGCUCGUAGGCGGCCAACUAAGUCGGAUGUGAAAUCCCCAAGCUUAACUUGGGAACUGCAUCCGAUACUGGAUGGCUUGAAUCCGGGAGAGGGAUGCAGAAUUCCAGGUGUAGCGGUGAAAUGCGUAGAUAUCUGGAGGAAUACCGGUGGCGAAGGCGGCAUCCUGGACCGGCAUUGACGCUGAGGAGCGAAAGCUAGGGGAGCAAACAGG